GAUGAACGCUGGCGGCGUGCUUAACACAUGCAAGUCGAACGGAAAGGCCCAAGCUUGCUUGGGUACUCGAGUGGCGAACGGGUGAGUAACACGUGGGUGAUCUGCCCUGCACUUCGGGAUAAGCCUGGGAAACUGGGUCUAAUACCGGAUAGGACCACUUCUUGAUGUUGUGGUGGAAAGUUUUUUCGGUGUGGGAUGAGCUCGCGGCCUAUCAGCUUGUUGGUGGGGUAAUGGCCUACCAAGGCGUCGACGGGUAGCCGGCCUGAGAGGGUGUACGGCCACAUUGGGACUGAGAUACGGCCCAGACUCCUACGGGAGGCAGCAGUGGGGAAUAUUGCACAAUGGGCGCAAGCCUGAUGCAGCGACGCCGCGUGGGGGAUGACGGCCUUCGGGUUGUAAACUCCUUUCGCUAGGGACGAAGCGUUUUGUGACGGUACCUGGAGAAGAAGCACCGGCUAACUACGUG
rnacentral:rRNA from 1 species